rnacentral:rRNA from 1 species
AGUGAACGCUGGCGGUAGGCCUAACACAUGCAAGUCGAACGACAGCACAGUAAGAGCUUGCUCUUACGGGUGGCGAGUGGCGGACGGGUGAGGAAUACAUCGGAAUCUACUUUUUCGUGGGGGAUAACGUAGGGAAACUUACGCUAAUACCGCAUACGACCUACGGGUGAAAGCAGUGGAUCUUCGGACCUUGCGCGAUUGAAUGAGCCGAUGUCGGAUUAGCUAGUUGGCGGGGUAAGGGCCCACCAAGGCGACGAUCCGUAGCUGAUCUGAGAGGAUGAUCAGCCACACUGGAACUGAGACACGGUCCAGACUCCUACGGGAGGCAGCAGUGGGGAAUAUUGGACAAUGGGCGCAAGCCUGAUCCAGCCAUACCGCGUGGGUGAAGAAGGCCUUCGGGUUGUAAAGCCCUUUUGUUGGGAAAGAAAAGCAGCAGGUUAAUACCCCGCUGUUCUGACGGUACCCAAAGAAUAAGCACCGGCUAACUUCGUG